GACGGAAGCGGAAGAGGUGGGGGACUUGCUGGUCCCCAGCAUGGCGGCCGCCUGGCCCUCCAGGCCGGCUGCGCAGGAGACGGUGGCCGCCCAGCUCCUGGGUGCCCUGUGGUUCGUGUCAGUCACCACGGGACCUUGGGGAGCUGCUGCCAUCGCCGCCGCUGGCGGAGAGGAGACGCUUAAGUGCGAGGACCUCAAAUUGGGACAAUAUAUUUGUAAAGAUCCAAAAAUAAAUGAUGCUACACAAGAACCAGUUAACUGUACAAAUUACACGGCUCAUGUUCCUUGUUUUCCAGCACCCAACAUAACUUGUAAGGAUUUCAGUGGCAAUGAAACACAUUUUACUGGGAACGAAGUUGGUUUUCUCAAGCCUAUAUCUUGCCGAAAUGUAAAUGGCUAUUCAUACAAAGUGGCAGUUGCACUAUCUCUUUUUCUUGGAUGGUUGGGAGCCGAUCGGUUUUACCUUGGAUACCCUGCCUUGGGUUUGUUAAAGUUUUGCACUGUCGGAUUUUGUGGAAUUGGGAGCCUAAUUGAUUUCAUUCUUAUUUCAAUGCAGGCCCUUAAAGCUCUAAAUUUCCUGGUGUCACUUGAGAGAUUGUUGGACCUUCAGAUGGAAGUAGUUACAUUAUAGAUUAUUAUGGAACCAGACUUACAAGACUGAGUAUUACGAACGAGACGUUUAGAAAAACACAGCUAUAUCCAUAAGUAUUUUUUAAAAGAAACAGAUUUGGGCUUCCUUGAUUUUAACAGAGCACUCUCAGUAUGUGGGUUUCCAGAUUUUCCUUUCUCUUCACACAUCACUUUAUGGAUUCUAUAUAACUUUGUAUUAUUGUUGAUGUUUUGUUGUUUUACUUAAAAGCAUCUUAUUCUGAGAUUUAUUUAAUUGGACUUUCUUUGAGAACUGUAUGAUAAUAGAGUCUUUCUUUGGCUACUGUCUAUGAGAUAAAUAGCUUAUUACCCCGAUAUUCCUUAAAGUCUUUCCUAAUGGCAGGUUGCCACUUGUCAUUUUUGCUUCUGAAAAAUAAAAAUAUGGCCUGUUCACAUUUUUUUAGCUCUUUAUUGUCAAGAAAACCUUAAAUGUUGAAUGUAGCUGUCUUCUAAAUUUUGAUCCUUCAAAACAGCUAAUCCGUAGUGUGAACAAAUCCCAUUACUAUAUUGCCUGGGGCUGCGGUCAUGUAUGAGAACCCACCUGUUUUUCUGCGGCUUUCAGAUCUGUCUCUGCCUCCGUAUCCAGGGAGCGAAAGAUCACUGGGGAGUCUGAAACCUUGAGGCAACGCGGAUACUUCUGGCACUGAUUCAGGCCUCUGAAGUGUGAACUUUUUCCUUUUUGCUUUGGGAGUGAUGCACUAGCUUUUGGAAGACCAGCUGCUGACUCGUCUAGCUCAGUGCAGUUAUAUUUGAAGCUGGAUAGACAAGGUGGGAACACCAAACAGAUGAUUAAUGUCUUCCAUCUGUUAACACUGCCAGGCAGAUGCCGGCACAAGUGCCGGACGUGGUGCACCAGUGUCUGAAGGGAAGGAAGCGGCACCUGAACGCUGGCACGGCCUCUUCUUACCAUGCUUACAAGGGUUUUGGGAAGAUGGAAAUACACGAAAUGUUAUGUGCUCAUCAUACCGCCGAGGUUUUUUUAGUAACAGGCAUAACGGCUUCACAAUUUCUUGAGUCCGGGCUCCCCAAGAGUAACACCAUAAUUUUUUUUAUCACUCAUAUUACUCAAAAGCAUACAGUCUAGUACAGUUGGCUUCCUAACAUGUUAGUCACUCAGCAACAGUUUCUGCAGUUGGCGGGUGAUUAUUAAGUAUUGAUAUGUGAAGUGAAUUUGGAUCGACUCCUUAUACACACAAGGAAUGGGCCCUUUGAUUCCUUCAUUGAAAUACUGAGUGUCUACUACAUGGGAGGUACUGUUCUAGAUGCUAGGAUGCAGCAGUGAACAAAAACAUGAACAAACAUCCCCUCCCUUAAGGCGUUUACGCUCCCCUGGGAUCUGUUUUCACAAGCGAUAGUAUUUUGGGCUGCAGUUAAGCUAGCUGGUAGAUGCCCAGUUUCUAGUAUUUCCUAGUUCCUUUUGUUUGCAGACAGUGCUUUGAAGUUUAACCUCAGGAUCACCUAAGUCCAGAUUUGAAGUCUACGUUUCUCUAGCCGUGUACGGUAUGAGAAAUCCCUGCAAUCGAAGCUUGAAGAAGUCCUCUUGAUUUCUUGCAUAAUUGUUCCAGUUAUUAACUUGGCCAGGGGGAAAGUGUGUUUCAAAGCAGGUGCUUCUCAAAGUGUUUAUUCAAAUAAGCUAUACUCCAAAAGGGUUGUAGGUAAAAUCUAGAAAUAGUCUCUUCACAGUGCAUUCUUAAGCCUGUAGACUUUAUUUUCUUUAUAAUUUCCUAAAUUUAUACGACAAGAACACCUCAGCUUUUCCACUUUGCUUAAUUCCCUGUUGCCUAAAAUAUGUACUUCUGUAACAAAUGGUUUUUCUGUGUCUUAUUAUUUAUUUUUUGUGUGAAUAUAUUUAAUACAUAUAAUUUCAGUUUUUGUUUUAUUUUGCUUUCAUGGAGCACAUUUUAUUAUGGCUAUUUGUUAGUAGUGUCUCUGAGUACAAAUUGUAUGUUAAGGCCUCUGUAGGAGAUGUUUUAUGUAACCCUACUUUUAGAGCAGUGGCCAAAAUUGUGGGAGAUGAAUUAACUCAAUCAUUCCUUGGGUUACUCCUAAACCCUCUAGGAUGGAAUGGAAUGGAUUCUUUCAAUGCUACAUAAACAGUUAGUGUUUCUGUAGAAAUAUUUACAAAUGGUACUGCUUUAGCCUGAAAGAAUUAAUACAGUUUCCAGAAGUACCUCUUUACCCAGGAGGGUUUCUUACCUACAGUAUAUUAGAAUAAAAGAUCUUUUUAAGACUUCAAAGAUUGUGCUAUGUGUAUGGCUAGCAUCUGUUCAUGGGAUUUCUAGGACUAUAAGAAAUACCGGUUUGUGGGUGUGUUUUGUUUUUGUUUUGCUUUACAAAAAAAUGCAUGUCUUUUCUCCUUAUUUUAACCUAGAUGCUUAAGGCUAAGUUAAGUAUAUAAUACUGAUAAGCAACUAGGAAACUACAACAGAUCUAAUAGCAAGGACUAGCAAGAAGAAAAAUUAAUUCUUAACAAGUAUAAGUCUAAGAUGUUGGUUCCUCUUCCUGAUUCAAACAUCUUAACUGUAGAUGUUCCUCGGGGUUCUGACACCUUCUCCUUUUCUCCCAUUAACUCAGCAUCUAUUUUGCUUUUUUCUAUUUACAAAAUUAAUACAAACCUAAUGCAGAAAUUCUGGGAAACACCAAAAAGUGCAAAGAAGAAAGCUCAUUCCAUAGCUCAAAGACAACAAUGUUAGUGUUUUUAUGUAUGUCCUAGUAGUUUUUCCAUGCACGUAUGUACAUUUUCUUCACAAAAAUGAUAUAGUACCCAUACUGUUCUGUAGCCUGCUGCUUCACAUUGUAAAGAUUUUUCUAUUUCAAUAAAUAUUCUUUUACAACACCA